rnacentral:miRNA from 1 species
UAAACGCUCUGGAGCCACAUUGUU